rnacentral:tRNA from 1 species
GGGGGAUUAGCUCAAAUGGUAGAGCGCGCGCUUAGCAUGCGCGAGGUAGCGGGAUCGAACGCCGCAUCCUCCA